rnacentral:tRNA from 1 species
GUCCCUGUAGCGCAAUGGAUAGCACGUUGGACUUCUAAUCCAAAGGUCGUGGGUUCGAAUCCAACCUGGGAUG